rnacentral:misc_RNA from 1 species
UCAAACUUGGUCAUUUAGAGGAAGUAAAAGUCGUAACAAGGUCUCCGUUGGUGAACCAGCGGAGGGAUCAUUACAGAGUUAAUCCAAACUCCCAACCCUUUGUGAACUAUAUCGCCGUUGCCUCGGCGUGAGUGGCGGCCACCCAGGGAGUAGUUACCUACCCUGUAGUUUCCGGGGGCAUCUACCCUGUACAUGAGAACUUCUACCCUGUAGAAGCCAUCCUGUAAGCUGGUAGCGCUGCCUUGGAAGGUACAGAGCAGGCUACUCCCCGGGGCUGCAAACAACGCCCGCCGGAGGACCAAUAAACUCUUGAAUUACUAUGUAUUUCUGAAUGCUUCAACUAUAAAUAGUUAAAACUUUCAACAACGGAUCUCUUGGUUCUGGCAUCGAUGAAGAACGCAGC